rnacentral:tRNA from 1 species
GAGGGUGUAGCUCAGUGGUAGAGCACAUGCUUAGCAUGCACGAGGUCCUGGGUUCAAUCCCCAGUACCUUCA